rnacentral:lncRNA from 1 species
CCCAAGCCAUGUUGCUAUAAAAGAUGCAGUUCGUACCUAAGGCUCAUCGUCGUGCUCACAUUAUUGUAUUAGAAAACUUCCUGAAAUAGAAGAAGUGCAAAGGCCCCAUUAAUUUAAUUUUUUUUUAAUUAAAAGAAGCACAUGGGAUUGAUGCUAUAUUAUUAUCUUAGGCGAACGGGAAGUGAGGUACCUCUCCACAUGUCUAGCCAUUUUAGAGGUUGAUGAUGUGAUUAUAAUAGUAGACCCCA